AAAGGAUCAAUCCAGAAGAUUCCAUUGGACCUCUGACCUCUUUCCUGCCCACCUGGAGGAAUUUGAGGCAGGUCCCGGAGCAGAGCAGAUCUAGGAUGCUUCUGAAGACCGACAUAGCUUCAUUAGGAGGAGCUGAGACACCAUAAUUUGGGAAAUGCGAAUCUUUUGCCCAUCUAUUCAGGACUCGUGAAGACAGAGAUGAGCCUUCUGCUUCCAGUGAUCAUGGGGCCCCCAGAUGAAGCCAGCCUCAGGAUAAUAAACCAGAGGGGGCAUGGAAGCUGAAGGAAUGCCCUUUCCCCUUCACCUGAAAUGUAAGCCAUUGGAAAGAGCAGUGUCUGGGAAUGACUAGACCCGUAUUUGUGUCCCACUUCUGUCACCUGGGAGCCUCAGGCAAAUGUCUCAGCCUCUCUGCUGCAGCUGGUCCUGGGUCAGUUGAAGUCCGUACACUAUGACCUCCCCCAGGGUGGGAAAUAUAGCUUGUUUAUAGUGCUUGACAUAACAGGAGCAAAUUUAGUAAGCAUUUAGGACUUCAUACCUUUAAAUGUUGCUGAAACACAUCCUCGUACACACACAUCCAUCACCAACAAAUAUC